AUACGGAGGGUGCAAGCGUUAAUCGGAAUUACUGGGCGUAAAGCGUACGUAGGCGGUUCGUUAAGUUAGAUGUGAAAGCCCCGGGCUUAACCUGGGAACUGCAUUUAAAACUGGCGGACUAGAGUUGAGUAGAGGGGAGUGGAAUUUCAGGUGUAGCGGUGAAAUGCGUAGAGAUCUGUAGGAACACCAGUGGCGAAGGCGACUCCCUGGACUCGAACUGACGCUGAGGUACGAAAGCGUGGGUAGCAAACGGGAUUAGAUACCCCAGUAGUCC
rnacentral:rRNA from 1 species